AAAGAAAUUUUGGGCAACGAAGCA
rnacentral:siRNA from 1 species